UGACAUCAAUAAGGCAUCAUUGCUUUCACCUGGAUUCACCUGGUCAGUCUGUCAUGGAAAUGUUUUGUACACUCAGUGUAUACAUGGCUCUCUCUGACAUUAUGUCUCUGAGAACAUUUACGAGGAGAUGAAGAUGAUGUAUUGUACACCAGAGGCAGGGACUCUCUAAUAUUCUCUUUUUCCUUAUUUGCCUCUUUCAGUUCAACAGYACUGCUCAAAAGAUUUUAAAGUGCUACUGAACACCAGUUCUGGGUUCAAAGUGAAGGAGGGUGAUACCCUCAACAUUGAGUGUUCCCAUAACCUGCCAGUGGAACUAAAAAGCCCGCUGGUGUUUGUCUGGCUGAAGGAUGRCGWCUGCCUGRAGGGCGAGAACAGUAGCCAGCUCACCGUGAAGAAGGUCGGCAUAGAUACCUCUGGCAWGGAGAAAUACGCCUGCACCAUCCAGAGUCCCUGUGGCAACUUCACCUCAGAACCAAAGGAGAUUGAAAUUGAAGCCAUGACGCUGUUGGUCAUAGUGAUCUGUGGUGUGUCUGCUGUGGUGCUGAUCCUGGCCAUGGGUAUAGGCAUGAAGAUCAUGCUGAAGAACGAAUUUGCGAAGACCAAGAACAGGAGGCAGCAGAAUGCUCAGAACCUACAGAGAACUACCACAACAUAAUAGUGUUUAAUUUUCUGCAAAUUCCACCAAAUGUCCUUCACAAGAAAACGGCUAAAAUCUGACAUGAUUACACUGUAAAUGGAUAAAUAUGUAGCUAACAAUUUAUUGUUGUAUUUGCUACAAUUAUGUUGAUUAAAUUGCAUCUCAAAGUCACAGUGUUGUUAACAUGGAAGAGCCACAGAUACUUAUGUUGAUCCUCUAGUGCUACACAGCUAGUUUGGAGAUUUGUCCCAAUAAAUAAUAUGCCAAUUUCAUGAUAUUUAAUAAUAAACAUUUAUAUGUGUA